GGACAAGGGUUAGCCCAGGGAGUGAGCUGACUCAGUAGAGUAAAGCUCGGUUCAACAGGAGGAGGGUGCUAUAAAAUAGGCCCAAUCUAUUCCAGUGGGUUUAAGCCACGUUUGCACUCUUUCAAGCCUAGGUCAUUCUGCACCAGUCUGGUUCCCUGGUGUAAAUUGGCUACCCUAACUUGAGCUGCCUGCCAAUGGCCUGAAGGUCCCAGAAGGUCGUUGGAAGAUCCCCAUAUGCAGCAUUUCUUUAAGCUCCAAGGAACAAAACAUGCCAAUUGCACACGAGGAAUGGAGAAGAUGCUCCUUAUGCAAGUGUGCUGACUAGAUGAUCACAACGAUCCCUUCUGGCUUAGAAUCUGACUCUGAUACUCUAUCAGCCUCCAUCCUCUGUGACCCAACCCAAUGAAAGGGGAUGCACAGCAUGGCCCUCACAGAGAAAACGGGUUGGUUCUUGGAUCUGUGUUGACAACAGCUAUAAGGCUGGACUCAUGCAGCAGCCUGUGGCAGAAGGCCUAGCAUGGAACAAAGCAAGGACCUCUUCUUCAGAAAGUCUUAAUAAAUUUCCUGUCAAACUGCUAAUCAAAACUCAGGCUGUUCUUUGAGUAUCAGUGGCAUAUACAGUAAGGCCUUAAACCUAUAAAAAAUACU